rnacentral:rRNA from 1 species
UAGGUGGGAGGCUUUGAAGUGUGGACGCCAGUCUGCAUGGAGCCGACCUUGAAAUACCACCCUUUAAUGUUUGAUGUUCUAACGUGGACCCGUAAUCCGGGUUGCGGACAGUGUCUGGUGGGUAGUUUGACUGGGGCGGUCUCCUCCUAAAGAGUAACGGAGGAGCACGAAGGUUGGCUAAUCCUGGUCGGACAUCAGGAGGUUAGUGCAAUGGCAUAAGCCAGCUUGACUGCGAGCGUGACGGCGCGAGCAGGUGCGAAAGCAGGUCAUAGUGAUCCGGUGGUUCUGAAUGGAAGGGCCAUCGCUCAACGGAUAAAAGGUACUCCGGGGAUAACAGGCUGAUACCGCCCAAGAGUUCAUAUCGACGGCGGUGUUUGGCACCUCGAUGUCGGCUCAUCACAUCCUGGGGCUGAAGUAGGUCCCAAGGGUAUGGCUGUUCGCCAUUUAAAGUGGUACGCGAGCUGGGUUUAGAACGUCGUGAGACAGUUCGGUCCCUAUCUGCCGUGGGCGCUGGAGAACUGAGGGGGGCUGCUCCUAGUACGAGAGGACCGGAGUGGACGCAUCACUGGUGUUCGGGUUGUCAUGCCAAUGGCACUGCCCGGUAGCUAAAUGCGGAAGAGAUAAGUGCUGAAAGCAUCUAAGCACGAAACUUGCC